rnacentral:tRNA from 1 species
UGGGGCGUGGCCAAGUGGUAAGGCAACGGUUUUUGGUCCCGUUAAUCGGAGGUUCGAAUCCUUCUGUCCCAA